rnacentral:sRNA from 25 species
UGAAUAGUCGAGUAAGUCCUGAUGUUCCUUAGACUACCGUAAGGAUGUCUUAAUCCAGACUUGAUUUGGUGAGAAUCGAGGCUCAGGGGUUGACUAUUCU